rnacentral:rRNA from 1 species
AUUGAACGCUGGCGGCAUGCCUUACACAUGCAAGUCGAACGGUAACGGGCCUUCGGGUGCCGACGAGUGGCGAACGGGUGAGUAAUACAUCGGAACGUGCCCGAUCGUGGGGGAUAACGAGGCGAAAGCUUUGCUAAUACCGCAUACGAUCUACGGAUGAAAGCAGGGGACCGCAAGGCCUUGCGCGGACGGAGCGGCCGAUGGCAGAUUAGGUAGUUGGUGGGGUAAAAGCUUACCAAGCCGACGAUCUGUAGCUGGUCUGAGAGGAUGAUCAGCCACACUGGGACUGAGAAACGGCCCAGACUCCUACGGGAGGCAGCAGUGGGGAAUUUUAGACAAUGGGCGCAAGCCUGAUCCAGCCAUGCCGCGUGCAGGAUGAAGGCCUUCGGGUUGUAAACUGCUUUUGGACGGAACGAAAAGCCUUCUUUUAAUACAGGAGGGUCAUGACGGUACCGGAAGAAUAAGCACCGGCUAACUACGUG